GAUGAACGCUGGCGGCGUGCCUAAUACAUGCAAGUCGAGCGAACAGAUGAGGAGCUUGCUCCUCUGACGUUAGCGGCGGACGGGUGAGUAACACGUGGAUAACCUACCUAUAAGACUGGGAUAACUUCGGGAAACCGGAGCUAAUACCGGAUAAUAUAUUGAACCGCAUGGUUCAAUAGUGAAAGACGGUUUUGCUGUCACUUAUAGAUGUAUCCGCGCCGCAUUAGCUAGUUGGUAAGGUAACGGCUUACCAAGGCAACGAUGCGUAGCCGACCUGAGAGGGUGAUCGGCCACACUGGAACUGAGACACGGUCCAGACUCCUACGGGAGGCAGCAGUAGGGAAUCUUCCGCAAUGGGCGAAAGCCUGACGGAGCAACGCCGCGUGAGUGAUGAAGGUCUUCGGAUCGUAAAACUCUGUUAUUAGGGAAGAACAAAUGCGUAAGUAACUAUGCACGUCUUGACGGUACCUAAUCAGAAAGCCACGGCUAACUACGUG
rnacentral:rRNA from 1 species